GGACUACACGGGUUUCUAAUCCAGUUCGCUACCCACGCUUUCGUGUUUCAGUGUCAAGAAUGCGCCAGUGAAUUGCCUUCGCUUUUGGUGUUCCCCAUGAUAUCAACGGAUUUCACCCCUACUCCAUGAGUUCCAUUCACCCCUCGCAUCUUCAAGUCGGGCCGUUUCUUCUGCGGACCCCCGGUUAAGCCGAAGAAUUUGACAGAAGACUAACCCAACCACCUACACACCCUUUACGCCCAAUGAUUCCGGAUAACGCUUGGGGCACUCGUAUUACCGCGGCUGCUGGCAC
rnacentral:rRNA from 1 species